GACGAACGCUGGCGGCGUGCUUAACACAUGCAAGUCGAACGGAAAGGCCCUGCUUUUGUGGGGUGCUCGAGUGGCGAACGGGUGAGUAACCCGUGAGUAACCUGCCCUUGACUUUGGGAUAACUUCAGGAAACUGGGGCUAAUCCCGGCAUGGAGCCCCGGCUCCUUGGUGGGGUUGGGAAAGUUUCGGCGGUUGGGGAUGGACUCGCGGCUUACCAGCUUGUGGGUGGGGUAGUGGCUUACCAAGGCUUUGACGGGUAGCCGGCCUGAGAGGGUGACCGGCCACAUUGGGACUGAGAUACGGCCCAGACUCCUACGGGAGGCAGCAGUGGGGAAUAUUGCACAAUGGGCGGAAGCCUGAUGCAGCAACGCCGCGUGCGGGAUGACGGCCUUCGGGUUGUAAACCGCUUUCGCCUGUGACGAAGCGUGAGUGACGGUAAUGGGUAAAGAAGCACCGGCUAACUACGUG
rnacentral:rRNA from 1 species